rnacentral:rRNA from 1 species
UACGUAGGGCGCAAGCGUUGUCCGGAAUUAUUGGGCGUAAAGAGCUCGUAGGCGGUUUGUCGCGUCUGCCGUGAAAGUCCGGGGCUUAACUCCGGAUCUGCGGUGGGUACGGGCAGACUAGAGUGCAGUAGGGGAGACUGGAAUUCCUGGUGUAGCGGUGAAAUGCGCAGAUAUCAGGAGGAACACCGAUGGCGAAGGCAGGUCUCUGGGCUGUAACUGACGCUGAGGAGGGAAAGCAUGGGGAGCGAACAGG